rnacentral:rRNA from 1 species
GCAAGAUUAAAACUCAAAGGAAUAGACGGGGACCCGCACAAGUGGUGGAGCAUGUGGUUUAAUUCGAAGAUACGCGAAGAACCUUACCUAGCCUUGACAUAUUUUAGAACUCCGUAGAGAUACAGAGGUGCCUUCGGGAGCUAAUUUACAGGUGCUGCACGGCUGUCGUCAGCUCGUGUCGUGAGAUGUUGGGUUAAGUCCCGCAACGAGCGCAACCCUCGUCACUAGUUACUAACGGUUCGGCCGAGGACUCUAGUGAGACUGCCUUCGUAAGGAGGAGGAAGGUGAGGACGACGUCAAGUCAUCAUGGCCCUUACGGUUAGGGCAACACACGUGCUACAAUGGUUGGGACAGUGAGACGCGAUACCGCGAGGUGGAGCAGAUCUAUAAACCCAAUCUCAGUUCGGAUUGUAGUCUGCAACUCGACUACAUGAAGCUGGAAUCACUAGUAAUCGUAGAUCAGCUAUGCUACGGUGAAUACGUUCCCGGGUCUUGUACUCACCGCCCGUCACACCAUGGGAGUUGAUUUCACCCGAAGCGGGGAAGCUAAACUGGCUACCCUCCACGGUGGAAUUAGCGACUGGGGUGAAGUCGUAACAAGGUA